rnacentral:misc_RNA from 1 species
UGUAGGAGUGAGCCUGCUCGCGAUAGCGGUGUGUCAGGUACAAAUGAUUUGACUGAUCAGCCGCGAUCGCGAGCAGGCUCACUCCUGCA